rnacentral:rRNA from 1 species
CCUAAGAACCUUUUAGAGAUAAGAGGGUGCUAGCUUGCUAGAACUUAGAGACAGGUGCUGCACGGCUGUCGUCAGCUCGUGUCGUGAGAUGUUGGGUUAAGUCCCGCAACGAGCGCAACCCACGUAUUUAGUUGCUAACGGUUCGGCCGAGCACUCUAAAUAGACUGCCUUCGUAAGGAGGAGGAAGGUGUGGACGACGUCAAGUCAUCAUGGCCCUUAUGCCCAGGGCGACACACGUGCUACAAUGGCAUAUACAAUGAGACGCAAUACCGCGAGGUGGAGCAAAUCUAUAAAAUAUGUCCCAGUUCGGAUUGUUCUCUGCAACUCGAGAGCAUGAAGCCGGAAUCGCUAGUAAUCGUAGAUCAGCCAUGCUACGGUGAAUACGUUCCCGGGUCUUGUACUCACCGCCCGUCACACCAUGGGAGUUGAUUUCACUCGAAGCCGGAAUACUAAACUAGUUACCGUCCACAGUGGAAUCAGCGACUGGGGUGAAGUCGUAACAAGGUAACCGUAGGAGAACCUGCGGUUGGAUCACCUCCUUU